rnacentral:lncRNA from 1 species
AUAUAGUAUACCACUGAGUUUAAAAACACCAAAUUGCAAACUACAUGGAUUAACAUAGGCUUCAAAUUUUUUUUUAGGAUGUCCUUGGCUAUAGUUAAAAGAAAAGCAGAAUGAGCGAAUGUGUGGAAGAAGUAAACCAAUAACAGUAAUGGUGAAGGUCAUUUACUGACCUUGUCUGCAUCAGUGGCACAGCAUUUAAGAACCUGCUGCUCGGCCACCUGUUCAUGUUUAGUGCUGUGAGAACCACGUUCCUGUCAUCAGCAAAUUUCUUUUUUCAGUUGUAAUAUCAUUUCAACCUCAUCUCGGAUGGUGGUGCUCAGAAAGAGCAUAGAGCUGGGCACCAGCAUCCAGGAAAGGGGCGGUGCAUCCCCACCCCAAGAUCAUGCAAGUUCUUCCUGUUGAUAAAAACAUCUCUAGGGAAGGACAACUUCUGGCUCUCACCUUUAGGGCAUGGGAUUUUCAGUUUGCCCAUUUUAACAUGCGUGUGGUCAAAGCUCUGGGGCUCCCCUCUGGAUCACAAAUAGCCAUUGCGUCAAGCAAACUCCUAGGCGGCUGGUUAGCUUGAGAGCAUCCUGAUGAAGACAUGGAGUAUUUCCUGCAGAAGAUCCUUUCUACCCACCUGCAGUCAAUUCCAGCAGUGGUUUCAACUACACGAAGGAUGGUGUUUCUCAGUCACGACAAAGGACAAGAGCAGGCUGCUGGUCAAAAUCGCCAGACAAGCCCAAAUGAGAGCUGCUGUCAGGAUUUAAAUACCUUCCCUGGGCCCCAGUGCCCAUGCGGGAACCCUGAGAAAGGCUAUUUUCAACCUUCGAAAAGUGUUCUGCAGCAAGUCUCAAGGGACUUAAUUAAAAUAAUCAGUUUUCAC